rnacentral:piRNA from 1 species
UGUAGUGAAACACACGCAAAUUGGUUC